rnacentral:RNase_P_RNA from 1 species
CUCCGGUUUCGGCCGGAGGGAGGAAAGUCCGGACAUGCCCUCUUCGGAGGAGAACGGUAGCAGGUAACGCCUGCCGUCGGUAACGAUAGAGGUGCGAACAGAGACGAGCUCGCCUUCGGGCGAGGUGAAACGGCAAAAUCCUUACCCGCAUGCAAGGCCGUGCUCCGCGCAAGCGGAGAGUGCCGCUCGAUCCCGCGCGCGAGCGCGGGACCAGAUAAAUGAUCGCCCACGACAGAAUCCGGCUUAUCGGCCAGAGCCACCA